rnacentral:lncRNA from 1 species
GCUAUUUUGAAGAAGCUAGGGUCUGGAGGGACAGAGAACAGUUCCCUGAUUAACAGUAUUAAUAGCGACAUUGGUAACAGCUACCAUUUAUAGAGUUUUAAUGGGAGUAGGAGCUAUGCUAAGUGUUUUUCAUGUAUUAUCGUUUUUAAUCAUUAUCCCCAACCCUAUGAGGUUGGUUAUUAUCCCCAUUUUACAGAUGAGGAAACUGAAGCUCAAAGAGGCUCAAUGACUUUCCCAAGGUGGUCGUAGUGGUGGAGUUGGAGUUUGAACACAGGCCUGACCCUAGAGUCCACACCCUGACCCAAUCAAUUAUAUUGCAUCUUGGGUCCAUAAACCCUAAUCCAUAAUCCCAUCAAGAAAAGCUCUGCUGCUCUUAGCUCUAAAUAAUUCAGAAUCUAUUCUCUUCUCUCCAGUCCCGUUGUUAUAGUCUUCACUCAUAGACUUAAGAUGAUCCCAUCACCAGAGAGGUUUCUCUACCAUUAGCUUCCCUCUUCCGGCCAUUCUUCACAAAGUCAUUUUUCUAAAUUCUGUGUCACAUACGAUGAUGGCAUUUCUGGAAAUUCCUUCAGGUGCUCUCAAGCCCUGCUGCAGAGAUCCUUUUCAGAGCACACACUGUUCCAGCCCAUCUGUCUCACCCUCUCCUGUUGUAUCCAGCUCCACGACAAACUUCUGCCUUCCCCAACACCUUUGUGCCUUUGCAUAUGGUGUUUUCUUGCCCAUUUUCUGCUCGACUCGCCCCUGAUUUUCAAGUUCAAGACUUAACUCAGGGUUCAGGUCUUCCAGGAGGCCUUACUUAUGUCGUCAGUCUGGGGAACUCUCCAUGUGCUUCUAUCACUGUGCGGUUACCUCUUUCACAGCCCUUUUAAAGUUCUAUCUUCCCUUUCCCACCUUUUUUGACCUUCCACUAGACCAUGAGCACCUGGGCGGAAAGCCAUAUAUCUUAUUAAGCUUUAUAUCUGCUACCUGGCCGAGGGCCUAAUUCAUAGUGGAGAAUAAAUAGUCAAUUGAAUAAAUGAAUAAAUAUCUCCACCAUCGUACUAAUCUUAAUCCUCCCUGCCCACUCCCACCACUGAAAAUGCAACAUUGUACACAUCACUGGUUGUUGGGAGGGACUUACCUUGGAAAGUUGCUAUUCUAGGAAAGAGAAACCUUCAUAUUCCUGGAAACAGCAGGUAGUUUCCAGUGCUGGCAAUGAAUUCCCCAGAACUGCUGUUUUGGAUUUUUUCUUGCCUGGCAGCUGUUGGGAGCAGGGUGCAGUGAGGAUGGGGUGAGAGUGGGCAGUUUCUUGUGCAGAUUUGCCUUUCUUUCAUCCUGGGGCUGACUUGCAGCUCCACACCCAUCCAUCUCUCAAAUUUCACAGAGGGUAAAAUAGGCAUUUGGAGAGAAAGAACUCUGGCCUGAUUCCUUUCUCUCCCACAAAUGUCCUUUAUUCAUAAAACAGGAAUAAUAAUUCCUGUAUCUCCCAACUACAUGGAAGCUGCAGCCCUCACAGAAGAAGAUGAUCUGAGAAAUUCUUUGAUUUCCUCAGUACAGUUAUACCCAUGCAUCAUAAUACUUUAAGCCUGGAAGGCAUCUUAAAAAUAAUGCAACAGUCAAACCUAAUUUUACAGAGAAACUGACAUGAAAUCACGCAGCUAAUCAUGAUAAAGCUGGGUGGAAAACUUAUCUUGAUGGGCAGUACAGGAAGAUGCAGUAGACCUUAAGAUGUCCUGAAAGUUUCUUAUCUCAGGGGAAACUCCCAGGUAGGCUUUAUGUCAGGGACACAGAAAAAUGCUCCCUGAAAGUCAAAAUAUUCGGGCUAGACAGACAAAUUCCUGUAAGUGUGGUUUGUCUGGGAACCACAGAUGUCACUAAUCCUGGUUUGCUCCAGAGUUCUUUUUGUUCACUCCUACCCCCCAUCACCAUUUGAUUGAUCUCCUUACCCUGUAAUUUCCCCUUCUUGUCGCUUACCUGCAGUAUCUUUCCCACCCAGGCAUGCCUUAUUCUUUCUAAAGGAAAGUAUGAAUGGAGAGGGGAAAGCUUGGGAAACUGAUAGAUUUCCUUGGAUGCCAAAACACCUCCAUAGCCUGUCUGCCCGGCCCUAUGUGGAAACAGCAUUGAGUUUCAAGUCCUUUAUGCCUCCACCCAGGGAUAGCCACUUGUAAUCCACAUGGCAAUUGUGAAACAAGCAGGAAAUGCGUAAUUGUCAGAAUUUUGUGGGGAAAGGACUAGGGAAUAAGGAAAACAAAGAUCUUCCUUGUGUUUUAGAGCUGUCAGCUAGAGGAGCACCUGCUUGAGUCUGAUGCCAUCUAAUGGUCCCAGAAGAAACUGGGUUUUGAACCUAGAGUUCCAUGGACUCUUAGGAAUUAGACUACUACUACUACUAAGCAUUCACUGGUGCUUACUAUGUGCUAUUGCUGUGCCAAGUAUCUGAAACCUGUCUUCUUACCUUAUUUUUCAAGAUAAUUCUAUGUGGCAGGUAUUACUAUCUCAAUUCUAAGAGUGAGAAAAUGGAGUUUUAGAAACAUUUACUAACUUGCCUGGGUCACAUAGCUAAGGAAGAGGUGGACUUGCCCAGCUUUGCAUAAAACUCCUCAAAAGAGUUGCCUAUACUCCCUGACUCCACUUAUCUUCCUACUAUCCUCUUUUUAAAAUAUAUUAUUUAUUUAUUUAAAUAAGCAAUAUAUGAAUGUGGUUUGAAAUUCAAAAGACACAAAGAAGUAUACAGAGGAAAGCCUCACUCUCAAUCCUUCUCAAGGUUUGCUAAUUCCUCUUGCAUAGGCAAUCCGUUCUUCCAGCUUUGUGUUUAUCUUUCCAGAGAAGUUUACUGUGUAUUAAGCAAAUAUGUAUAUCUUUAUUCUUGCUCAGUAUUUUCGCAAACAGCAGCUGUCUAAGUUCACUGUUCUGAACUUUAUUUUUUAAAUUAAAAAUAUAUGGCUAUGUAGUAUUCUA